rnacentral:rRNA from 1 species
AGCGAACGCUGGCGGCAGGCCUAACACAUGCAAGUCGAACGAAGUCUUCGGACUUAGUGGCGGACGGGUGAGUAACACGUGGGAACGUACCUUUUGGUUCGGAACAACUCAGGGAAACUUGAGCUAAUACCGGAUGAGCCCUUAGGGGGAAAGAUUUAUCGCCGAAAGAGCGGUCCGCGUUAGAUUAGCUAGUUGGUGAGGUAAAGGCUCACCAAGGCUACGAUCUAUAGCUGGUAUGAGAGGAUGACCAGCCACACUGGGACUGAGACACGGCCCAGACUCCUACGGGGGGCAGCAGUGGGGAAUCUUGCGCAAUGGGCGAAAGCUUGACGCAGCCAUGCCGCGUGAAUGAUGAAGGUCUUAGGAUUGUAAAAUUCUUUUACCAGGGACGAUAAUGACGGUACCUGGAGAAAAAGCCCCGGCUAACUUCGUGCCAGCAGCCGCAGUAAGAC